rnacentral:misc_RNA from 1 species
UACAGCUCAACCAUGACCCUGCAG